rnacentral:tRNA from 1 species
CCUCUCGAUAGCUCAGUUGGUAGAGCGGAGGACUGUAGGUUGAUAAGUGUGGCAUCCUUAGGUCGCUGGUUCAACCUCGCCCGAAGGA